UACGUAGGUGGCAAGCGUUGUCCGGAUUCAUUGGGCGUAAAGAGCUCGUAGGCGGCCACUCAAGUCGAAUGUGAAACCUCGAGGCUUAACCUCGAGCCUGCAUUCGAUACUGGGCGGCUAGAGUCUGGUAGGGGGAUCUGGAAUUCCUGGUGUAGCGGCGGAAUGCGCAGAUAUCAGGAGGAACACCGGUGGCGAAGGCGGGAUCCUGGGCCAGUACUGACGCUGAGGAGCGAAAGCGUGGGGAGCAAACAGG
rnacentral:rRNA from 1 species